CUAGAAACUUUUAAAAGGGGAUGUAUUUGGAGGAUAGGAGAUGGAACCCAAGUGGACAUUUGGGAGGAUCAUCGGGUGUCUACAAGUCUGAGCAGGAAAGUAAUGACACCAAAAGGUAAUAUUUUGGUGACAAAGGUUCUAACCUGAAGUAUUUUUUGGCCAAUUGAUGCGACUAGAAUUUUGGAGAUUCCAAUGGCACCAUCAGGUAUGGAAGAUUUUUUUGCAUAGUACCAUACUGAGAACGCGAUUUUUAAUGUUCGCUCAGAGUAUCAUGCGGAAUGGAGCUACCACUUCGGUAGACAUGAAAGAAACUUACUCGGCGCUGAUGGAUCACAUGUCAGCCACGUGUGGAAGAUGCUUUGGGACCUUAAUAUCCCGGCAAAAAUUAUGAUAUUUGGGUGGCGAGCACUAUAUGGAGUGAUUCCUUGCCAAGGUGUGAUUGCAAAUAGGCAUAUUACAAAUUAUAGUGCGUGCGCUCUCUAUCAUGCAGGAUGUGAUGAUAUUAUGCAUCUAUUCAUUAAGUGUACCCGAGCCAGAGAAAUAUGGGCAAAGGGGGUGUCAGCCUUCGAAAACACAAUUUGUAUGAGGGGCCCAUGGAAUUCUUUGGAUGACAUUGGGCUACCGGAAAUAUUAAUUGUUGCAUGGUACAUUUGGUGGGAGAGGCAACAAAUCAUUCAUAAUGAACCAGUACAGACACCUCAUAGUUCAGCCAUGGCCAUUGGGGCUCUUGCGGCAAACUAUGCUUGUGCAAAGAAGAAGGUUGCUCCAGGAUUGUGACGUGGCUGGACGUGCCCUCCGGAAGGCCUAAUGAAAGUGAACGUUGAUGCAACUUUUGAUGUUGAUGAGGGAAGAGGAAGCACAGGAGUCAUUGUGAGAGACUCGCGUGGAAAAUUUGUGGUGGCAUUCUGCUUGUGGUUCCCGCAUGUGGCUGAUGCAAUAACGGCUGAAGCAUAUGCUUUGAGAGAGGGUUUCACCCCUAGCUCAACGGAUUGGCCUAAAUAA
rnacentral:rRNA from 1 species